rnacentral:tRNA from 2 species
GUGGUUGUGGCUCAGUGUAGAGCACUUGCCUAGCAUGUGUGAGGCACUGGGUUCAAUUCUCAGCACCACA